rnacentral:sRNA from 1 species
AUAUCUCUCUGUACGGGAAGGAUGAGAAGCUUCGACCAAGGUUCGAUUCGAGCGUCAGCGAGAAAGCGUUGCCGCAGGCAACGACCCGA